rnacentral:rRNA from 1 species
AGAGUUUGAUCCUGGCUCAGAUUGAACGCUGGCGGAAUGCUUUACACAUGCAAGUCGAACGGCAGCACGGGAGCUUGCUCCUGGUGGCGAGUGGCGAACGGGUGAGUAACAUAUCGGAACAUAUCCUAUCGUGGGGGAUAACUAGUCGAAAGACUAGCUAAUACCGCAUACGUCCUGAGGGAGAAAGCGGGGGCUCGCAAGACCUCGCGCGAUUGGAGUGGCCGAUAUCUGAUUAGCUAGAUGGUGAGGUAAAAGCUCACCAUGGCGACGAUCAGUAGCUGGUCUGAGAGGAUGAUCAGCCACACUGGGACUGAGACACGGCCCAGACUCCUACGGGAGGCAGCAGUGGGGAAUUUUGGACAAUGGGCGAAAGCCUGAUCCAGCCAUUCCGCGUGAGUGAAGAAGGCCUUCGGGUU